UGCCAGGAAUCGAUGUGCUCAGUGUGUUUCUCAGAGAUGGAAAAGAGAGAUCUAGAGGAACAAAGGACAGCCGGGGCAGCUGAUUAAACAGCCAGAACAUGGCCAAACCCAAAGCCCUGUAGUAUCAAAACAAUUAAAUGAAACAAAAAUGCCGCUGAACAUAAAGCAAGGGGUGGAUUUUGUAAAUACUUGGAUGUGUCUGAAAAAGAAAGCAGACAUUUGCAAUCUUAUCUAAGAUGAGAGGUAAAAAGGACCUGACUUCUUCUAGGUCACUCUCUCUCCUCCAGAUCUUCUUCCACACACACACAUCAUGCCAAAAGCGGGCAGGGAGAGUCACUGGGCCCCUGGAAGGUCUUCAUGAAUGCCAUUGAAAUAUGAAGUGCAGCAUCAAGAUGGCUCUUAAGUGUCCAUUUGGAACCAUAGAGGAUAAUUUAGUGAGCUAACCCUACUUGAAUGCAUGAUAGACUGCGAUAGAUCACAGACUUCAGGAGGAAGAUGGAGCACCCUGGAAUAUCCUCAUCUUGUUCUGAAUCUAGCCGAUACUCUCUAGCAGAGAGGAGCAUAUGCAUUUGUGGCCAUGUACUGAAGAUCAACAUUCUGCGGGGAAGAUUCUUAUACUUACAGAUGCUCUAGCUUCCCGAGGUCAGAUCUCUUCAACUUUCUUCCACCCUGAGAGACUGAAGAAGUAAUUGCAGCUGAUGCGGAACUAAAAGUCGACAAAGCCUCCUGAUUCCAAACUAUGCCAACUGUUUGUUGCCUUACUGCAACCAAGGUACAAGCACAGAAGGCUGAUCUUCCCUGCUUGUGGUGCU
rnacentral:sRNA from 1 species